UAGGAGGCGUCGAGCGGCGGACGGGUGAGUAAUGCAUAGGAAUCUGCCCGAUAGUGGGGGAUAACCUGGGGAAACUCAGGCUAAUACCGCAUACGUCCUACGGGAGAAAGCAGGGGAUCUUCGGACCUUGCGCUAUCGGAUGAGCCUAUGUCGGAUUAGCUAGUUGGUGAGGUAACGGCUCACCAAGGCGACGAUCCGUAGCUGGUCUGAGAGGAUGAUCAGCCACACUGGGACUGAGACACGGCCCAGACUCCUACGGGAGGCAGCAGUGGGGAAUAUUGGACAAUGGGGGAAACCCUGAUCCAGCCAUGCCGCGUGUGUGAAGAAGGCCUUCGGGUUGUAAAGCACUUUCAGCGAGGAAGAAAGCCUGGGGGCUAAUACCCCUCAGGAAGGACAUCACUCGCAGAAGAAGCACCGGCUAACUCCGUGCCAGCAGCCGCGGUAAUACGGAGGGUGCGAGCGUUAAUCGGAAUUACUGGGCGUAAAGCGCGCGUAGGUGGCUUGAUAAGCCGGUUGUGAAAGCCCCGGGCUCAACCUGGGAACGGCAUCCGGAACUGUCAGGCUAGAGUGCAGGAGAGGAAGGUAGAAUUCCCGGUGUAGCGGUGAAAUGCGUAGAGAUCGGGAGGAAUACCAGUGGCGAAGGCGGCCUUCUGGACUGACACUGACACUGAGGUGCGAAAGCGUGGGUAGCAAACAGGAUUAGAUACCCUGGUAGUCCACGCCGUAAACGAUGUCGACUAGCCGUUGGGGUCCUUGAGACCUUUGUGGCGCAGUUAACGCGAUAAGUCGACCGCCUGGGGGAGUACGGCCCGCAAGGUUAAAACUCAAAUGAAUUGACGGGGGCCCGCACAAGCGGUGGAGCAUGUGGGUUUAAUUCGAUGCAACGCGAAGAACCUUACCUACCCUUGACAUCGUGCGAACUUUCCAGAGAUGGAUUGGUGCCUUCGGGAACGCACAGACAGGUGCUGCAUGGCUGUCGUCAGCUCGUGUUGUGAAAUGUUGGGUUAAGUCCCGUAACGAGCGCAACCCUUGUCCCUAUUUGCCAGCGAUUCGGUCGGGAACUCUAGGGAGACUGCCGGUGACAAACCGGAGGAAGGUGGGGACGACGUCAAGUCAUCAUGGCCCUUACGGGUAGGGCUACACACGUGCUACAAUGGUCGGUACAAAGGGUUGCAAUGCCGCGAGGUGGAGCUAAUCCCAUAAAGCCGGUCUCAGUCCGGAUCGGAGUCUGCAACUCGACUCCGUGAAGUCGGAAUCGCUAGUAAUCGUGAAUCAGAAUGUCACGGUGAAUACGUUCCCGGGCCUUGUACACACCGCCCGUCACACCAUGGGAGUGGACUGCACCAGA
rnacentral:rRNA from 1 species